rnacentral:lncRNA from 1 species
CAUUAGGAUUUGGAUCCUUGGAGUAUUUAGAGGCAUAUAAUGGUUGAACUUCGAUGGUGGACUCCUCAGGCACCAACGAUUGUCUUCUUCUUGUCUAAGCCUCUUCAUAGGUUCUUCUCAGUUUUUUCUAUCUCUCUCUCAAACUCUUCUACCUCUGGUUUCCUCUCGCUGAGUCACCAUGGCCUCUUCAGUUUUGAUGUAUUUGUCAACUCGGGACAGCUACUUGGCUAGAUCUUUAAGGUUUCUCUUUUCUAAAAAGAAGUAAAGGCUGCAAGACUUCAAUCCACACUUGAUAAUCGAUGCCCCGGUCUUAUCCAAAUCAUAAAUUUCUAACAUCCCCCUAUUGAAAUGGUUAAUGAAACUCCAGAGGGAUUCAUGUUUCCUUUGCUUCAUGGCAAAUAGGCUAAUAGAGUCAUUAUGCCUCUGGCUGCUCACAAAGUGAGCCAUAAAUUGUUAGUUGAGUUGAUCAAAAGAGUGCAUGGAUUUUGACUAGAGACUAAAGAACCAAAGAUGCCUUGUUUUCCUCAAGGUACCCGAAAAACCUCGACAUAGAAUAGCAUCAAAUGCCCCUUGCAACAUCAUGAAAGUCCUAAAACUCUCAAAAUGAUCCAUAGGAUCCGAGGUGCCAUCAUGCACCUCUAGUUAAGGCACUCUGAACCUUUUUGUUAGUGACUUAUCCAUGGUUGUCUUGGAAAAAGGUGGGUCGAUGGUGAUCUCCAAAUCUUUUCCCUGGUCAGGCUGCCUCCUCAAAGCUUCGAUCUUUAGAUUUAUUUCUUUAAUAUAUUGAUCGAGAUUGGCUUCUUGCCUGGAGAACCUUUUGGGCUAGAGGGAUUACGAGCCAUUCAAGCUAAAGCCCAUCUCGGAAUGGGUGCCAUGGAAAUCAUCUUUUCGAUGUCAUCGUAAAUCUUUGCCAUAGUGGUUAGUAUUCAGUAUUGGGUUGUCAUGUCGAUCUAAUUGCACAGCAGUUGUCUGUAGGUCUGGAUGUCGCAUCUCCCAAACAAUCUCUAUCAGAUUCUGUAUUUGUUGGAUGAAUAGAUUAAACUGCUCGAUCAUCACUAUCUCGGAAGCCAGUUGCAAAGUUAAAGACUGUCAUGGAUAAUUGUGGGAGUCCUAUUAAGCUUGAUUGGUGGAGUGAUGAUCGUUGCAUUGGGACUUCAUCUCUCUCUCUCAAAUCUCUAAAGGAUCCUCAAAAGAUGAAGGUAUCCUUCUUCUAACGCCAAUCUAUUGUUGCUCAAAAUCCCAUAUGGCUAAGUGGAUAGAUAAGCUGCUCCGCCUAGUAAUGAUGAGGAAGAUUGGCUUGGCACUGAGUUGAUCUGUAACCACUAAGAAACGUCAAAGGUUCGUCAAAUAUAUCCGACGAAGACCAUUCGAUGUUUAAGUUAGGUAGAGUUUCGAAAGAAAAUAGGAGAUAUGAUAGAGAAGAAGUAUAGGGUUUUCUCCUGAGUCCUGCCCUUGCAUCUGGUAUUUAUAGACGUGAGUGUGAGAAUCUUCGUGAUUGAGAUCACAAGAUUAGUAGACGAGCAAUUGAGCUUUUUUUUUUUAUAUCAAUUGAUCAAAUUGGUGAAAAUAUGCCAUAUUGGGCAUGCUAUAAUUUGAGUGCUUACUUUAUCUAACUCAUCGAUGAAGAUAUAUCUUUUCUGAGCUGAUUGAGAUCACGGCGGACUUUAACAGUUUGUUGAUAAAUCGGAGAUUUGAUUGAUUGCUGAUUUCACAGGAUAUAUAUUACUAUUUAGUUGGGCGAGCAAAGAUGUUAGGUGAGAAUUUUAGGAUGGCAAAUCCAAGCUAUAUUAGGAGUCAUUAUGGAUGGACUUACUAGAUUUGAAUGAUAAGAAACAAACUUCCAAGUGCAUAAGCCACAAGAUAGUUUAAUUAGAUUUUCCUAAAAGACAUUCUUUAACCUAUAUCUUUUCAAAAGAACUUCUUAAAUGAAGAUACCAAAUAUUUAUUUUUUCAGUAAGCAUUUUUUUUAUUUUAGAAAUUGUAAAGGGACCCUAAAGAUAGCAAUCCAAGAGGGGGGCUGGGAUGAAUUGGGUUCUUUAAAAAUUUAAACCAAAUAUGCUCUAAAAGCAAAUUACAAAUGUGCUUGUGAAGUGUUUGGACAAAGAUAAAAUUAGUAGCGAAAAGUAGAUAUAAAAUAACCACAUAAUCACAAAUCCAACAAAUUUAUAGUGGUUUGAUGUCAAAUUUAGUACCUAUAUCCAUUCCCUAAGAUCUCGUGCCUGAGAAUUUCAACUAUAAUCACUCUUUGAUUGUAGUCCGAUUGUUAUACGACUCAAUAAAUCGACUUGAUUUUAUUCAGACUCACCAACCACAAUCUUCUCAACGAAGUCCCCAAGACUUAGUCAGCUACAUAUGUCCAAUUACGGGCUUGGACCGGUCUUAAUCCCAAGUUUCUAUGCUAAAAAAACUUGUUACAACACUAUUAAUAUAAUGGAUAAAUAAAUUUAAAGCUAAAACAUAAAGCUCUUCAAAGCUCGUGGGAGUCAUUGAAGAAGCUUCUUGAAUGCUUUGACUUCCUCCUUAAUUGCUAGAGAGAUAAUUGUAAGGAUGCUUGAUUGAUUUCUUAAUGGAUAGCUCAGGCUUGUUCAAUGCUUGUUUUCCUAUCUUUUGAUUGAAUUGAAUGCAAGAAGGUUGGACUUGAAUGCUUUUUAAGUGUUCCUUUUUGGCUUGUGUAUUCACUUCUUGUGCUUAGAUUAGUUCUCCAAUUAAAUUUCUUAUUUAAAUAUAUCCAAAAAUGAUCGGAAGAGACAACAUGACCAUUGAAGAGCUCAAACUUGCUGUUGGAAACUUUUCCUACCUAUUGGAGAUGUUUAGUAAAACUUGUUGUUGGGCAUCAAACAUAGA